GAGAAAAUAUGUUAUCAUUUUAGCUGCUAACUAAAUAUGAAAGCGGUUUAAUUCCGUUUUUUUCUUU
rnacentral:tRNA from 1 species